UACGUAGGGUGCAAGCGUUGUCCGGAAUUAUUGGGCGUAAAGAGCUCGUAGGCGGUCUGUCGCGUCGGCUGUGAAAACUCGGGGCUCAACCCCGAGCCUGCAGUCGAUACGGGCAGACUAGAGUGCGGUAGGGGAGACUGGAAUUCCUGGUGUAGCGGUGAAAUGCGCAGAUAUCAGGAGGAACACCGGUGGCGAAGGCGGGUCUCUGGGCCGGUAACUGACGCUGAGGAGCGAAAGCGUGGGGAGCAACAGG
rnacentral:rRNA from 1 species